AGAGUUUGAUCCUGGCUCAGAAUGAACGCUGGCGGCAUGCCUAACACAUGCAAGUCGAACGAGACCUUCGGGUCUAGUGGCGCACGGGUGCGUAACGCGUGGGAAUCUACCCUUGGGUUCGGAAUAACUCAGAGAAAUUUGGGCUAAUACCGGAUGAUGACGUAAGUCCAAAGAUUUAUCGCCCAAGGAUGAGCCCGCGUAGGAUUAGCUUGUUGGUGAGGUAAAAGCUCACCAAGGCGACGAUCCUUAGCUGGUCUGAGAGGAUGAUCAGCCACACUGGGACUGAGACACGGCCCAGACUCCUACGGGAGGCAGCAGUGGGGAAUAUUGGACAAUGGGCGAAAGCCUGAUCCAGCAAUGCCGCGUGAGUGAUGAAGGCCUUAGGGUUGUAAAGCUCUUUUACCCGGGAAGAUAAUGACUUACCGGAGAAUAGCCCUGAUCCCCC
rnacentral:rRNA from 1 species